GACGAACGCUGGCGGCGUGCUUAACACAUGCCAGUCGAACGGAAAGGCCCUGCUUGCAGGGUACUCGAGUGGCGAACGGGUGAGUAACACGUGGGUGAUCUGCCCUGCACUUCGGGAUAAGCCUGGGAAACUGGGUCUAAUACCGGAUAGGAGCCAUUUUUAGUGUGAUGGUUGGAAAGUUUUUUCGGUGUAGGAUGAGCUCGCGGCCUAUCAGCUUGUUGGUGGGGUAAUGGCCUACCAAGGCGGCGACGGGUAGCCGGCCUGAGAGGGUGGACGGCCACAUUGGGACUGAGAUACGGCCCAGACUCCUACGGGAGGCAGCAGUGGGGAAGAUUGCACAAUGGGCGCAAGCCUGAUGCAGCGACGCCGCGUGGGGGAUGACGGCCUUCGGGUUGUAAACUCCGUUCGCUAGGGACGAAGCUUUUUGUGACGGUACCUAGAGAAGAAGCACCGGCUAACUACGUG
rnacentral:rRNA from 1 species